rnacentral:tRNA from 5 species
AGGAAUAUAGCUCAGUUGGUUAGAGUACUUCGCUGAUACCGAAGAUGUCACAAGUUCGAAUCUUGUUAUUCCUA